CAGAUACCUAUUUAAAAGUAUUUAUCUAAGUCUAAGUAGCCUAUUAGAUGUUAAUUUUCUGACAAAAUUUGCAGUUCAUAUGAUUAAUUAAAUCUAAAACUGUAGAUCUAGAUAAUGGCCUGAUCACCACUCAAAAAUGCAGGGAUAUUUGGCUGAGGCAUAAACUACAAGCUAAACUGCUACUCAAAUUUAAAAUGUUCUUAAGAAAACUUUUCGGAUGAGCAAAGCAAUGUCUGUGUUUAGCACAAACUUCAUUAAUGUCCCUGAAAUGCAUAAUAUCCUUUUUAAUUGAAUAAUCCAAGAAGCAUUCUGCUGUGGCCAUCUCAGUCUUAUCACUCAACUCAGUUUUGUUUUUUUAAGAAAUCAAUGUUAGUGAACAAGCUCAAAAUUUAACGUACGGGAGUUAGAAAUCAAAAUAAUAACAGUAACAAGGAAGUUUAGGCUAGGAAGGGCAUUCAAUCGUCGACACUUUUUCUUCCCCUUUGAUUUGCUUAGCAAUAUGGAUCUACACACAAUUUGAAAUACAGCUUGGAAAAAAGUAAAUGAUUUCAGAGAGAUCAGGACUCUUAAUCAAUCGCACAAAUAUAAAAUCACUUUGAAAUGCACAUAAACAGUUUAUACUAGGUAUCGUCCAUUUGUAAAUAACAGUCCCAUGAUCCUUCUUAAAAGACAAAG